rnacentral:rRNA from 1 species
AUUGAACGCUGGCGGCAUGCCUUACACAUGCAAGUCGAACGGCAGCACGGGUGCUUGCCCCUGUUGGCGAGUGGCGAACGGGUGAGUAAUACAUCGGAACAUGUCCUGUAGUGGGGGAUAGCCCGGCGAAAGCCGUAUUAAUACCGCAUACGAUCUACGGCUGAAAGCGGGUGACCUUCUGGCCUCGCGCUCUUGGGUUUGCCGAUGGGUGCUUUGCUUGUUGGUGGGGUAAAGGCCUACCAAGGAGAGGAUCAGUAGCUGGUCUGAGAGGACGACCAGCAAAACAGGAAGUGAGAAACGGACAAGAAUCCAACGGGAGGCAGAAGUGGGGAAGUUAGGAAAAUGGGCGAAAGACUGAUCAAGAAAGGAGGAGAGUGUGAAGAAGGCCUACGGGUUGUAAAGCACUUUAGUACGGAAAGAAAUAAUUGGAAGUAAGACGGUAGGGGGAUGACGGAACCGGAAGAAUAAGAACGGGCUAACUACGU